rnacentral:lncRNA from 1 species
GGAGGGGGCUAGAGGGGGUCUCAUCCCGAUUUCCCGGUUUUAAUAUCAGAAAAUCCCGAAAUCCCGGACAUAUUUUGUUAAAAAUCCCGAUCCCGAUAAACAAGUAAUCACCAUUUAUUUAUUAAAGAGGUCCUCCACUAUUUUAGGUAACGAAUAGACACAUCUGACACAUCUUUUAAAGGAGGCCGUCCUGGUAAACUUUGAAAAUUAAACCCUCUGAGUAAUGUUGUUCUUAAUUAUUUGCUUUCCUG